CCUCGCCUUCUAUUUUUUAAUGUUUCAAUACAUUGGUUCCCACACAUUCUUUAUAGGCUCCCUUCAAUAUGCAUGUGUCAGCUUCAGUUUCAGGCAUUCCAUAGGGUAACAAUUAGCCUUAUUGACAUUUUAUUUAUUAUUCUUGGUACCUUUAGCACAGAACCUGGGACACAGCAGGCAUACAAUAAAAACUUGGAUUUAAUCAACUUCUAUUUUUUCUCUUUAGGUCUCCGUAACUAUUAAUUUCUCUGUCCUUCUAAUCUGUAUUCCCUGAGAAAUUAAUUGGGCUGGCAAGUCAAAGCCCUGAACCCCAGCUGCAGCUUUCUGAGCUUGUUCUGUCCAUCUGUGAAGUAAGGCAAUGAGAAGUGAGUCGGGGAACGGAACCCACGAUGCGUCAGAGGAGUGUUCCAGUUGCACACACACUCCCCAGCCACCUGGCAGCUCAGUCUAUAAUCUGGAGGCUUCCACAUCUACAGCUCCAUACAAAUGAACCUCUGGUUCUAAAGAAGUUUCUUCCUUGUCUGGUUCUCACUUUCUAAACCUCAGUCUCUGGAGAGAAAAGGAGUCCUGGAGGAUGAACAAGGCGAGCUUGGAGUAAUUUGGAAAAGCUAAUGUUGUAGGACAGAAGCAAAGCCUGCAAGUCACAGCCUAGGUUCCCUGAGUGAUGUUUUCAGCAGUAAACUGCAACUUCAAAGCUAAGAGCCAUCCUAAUAAUUUGCCAUAAAAGGUAGCUUGUUAAAAAUGAGUCAAAAAGGCCGGGUGCAGUGACUCACGCCUGUAAUCCCAGCGCUUUGGGAAGCUGAGGCGGGCGGAUCACAAGGUCAGGAGGUCGAGACCAUCCUGGUUAACACGGUGAAACCCCGUGUCUACUAAAAAUACAAAAAAUUAGCUGGGCGUGGUGGCGGGCAGCUGUAGUCCCAGCUACUUGGGAGGCUGAGGCAGGAGAAUGGCGUGAACCCGGGAGGCAGAGCUUGCAGUGAGCCGAGAUUGCGCCACUGCACUCCAGUCUGGGUGACAGAGCAAGACUA
rnacentral:lncRNA from 10 species